rnacentral:lncRNA from 1 species
GACAGUUUCAACAUGCCAUUCUAAAACUAUGUGAGAAUACAGCAUAAUAAAAUAUAGAAUAAAAUAUAACAAUAUUAAAUAUGUAUUUCUAUAUUCGUAAGUGUCACAAACUACCAUUUUUAAGUCUACUCAAUUGGUUCAGAAGGAGAAAGUUGAUUUAAGAACUGAGGAUUGAUGUUGGGAGUCAUAACUGAUGAACAUGAAUACUUUCUGAUCUGUGGGACAUGUAAUCAUUUAAGAUUCUAAGACUCAUUGGAGUUUGGUCUCUAGGAACUUGUAGUCACUAAGUAGACCUGGCUGUCAUUAUGCACAUGUUUUCCUUUCUUUUUUUGGAGGGGUGGUAACAAGAGAUUGAACCUUGGGGCACUUAACCACUGAGCCACAUCCCCAGCCCUUAUUAUUUUUUAUUUUGCACAGGGCCUUGCUGAAUACUGAGAUUGGCUUUGAACUUGUGACUCUCCUGCCUCAGCCUCCUGAACUGCUAGGACUACGGUUGUGCACCACCACACCAAGCUAUACGCAGAUUUUUCUAGUGCCUAUAAUUCAUCCUCCUUCAGUUUAAGUCACCAAACAUUACCUUUCCUCCUAACUUUUACACAUUACGGUCAAUCUAAAUUCUCCAUUCUAUUCUCUACCAUUUAUUUGCAUACCUCAUGUUUUCCAGGCAUAUUCAUAUCAUUUCAUAAAUUAAUAUUAAUAUAUAUUAUUUCAUUUUUUAAUAUUUGAUGCUUUGGAAUGCAUACCUGGACCUUCCUAAUUACUUUUAUUUUGGGCCAUGAAGCUUCUGUAAGUGACUAAACUAAUACUGGCCAAUUUUUAUUGAGCACUUUGUUGUAACCACAUUACACUGAUGUAACUCAAUAUGUUUACUGAUUUAAAUUACAGGGAAACUCUGUAAUACAGAUACCAUUUUAAACUCCCAUUUUAUGUGGAGCAAUCAAAGACAAAAAUUGAAGUAACUUUCAUAAGACCACAGAUAUAAUAGAAAAUCAAACUAGAAUUGAGUAUUUUAGUCAUGGUUCUAGAGUCAGCCCUCUUAACCACCAGAGCAGACUAUAUGUCACAGAUUCCUAUACUGAUUUUAAGCAACAGAAAACUAUUAGAAAAAUGCGUUAC